CUUCUUAKRGGGACUAUCGGUGUUUAACCGAUGGAAGUUUGAGGCAAURACAGGKCUGUGAUGCCCUUAGAUGUWCUGGGCCGCACGCGCGCUACACUGAUGAAGUCAUCGAGUUCAUUUCCUUUAUCGGAAGAUAUGGGUAAUCUUUUGAAACUUCAUCGUGCUGGGGAUAGAGCAUUGCAAUUAUUGCUCUUGAACGAGGAAUCCCUAGUAAGCACAAGUCAUCAGCUUGUGCUGAUUACGUSCCUGCCCUUUGUACACACCGMCCGUCGCUACUACCGAUUGAAUGGCUUASUGAGGCCUUMGGAUUGAGAUUCCGGAGUUUGGCAACAGACCCUGGGUUUGAAAAAGUUGGYCMAACUUGGUCAUUUARAGGAAGUAAAAGUCGUAACAAGGU
rnacentral:rRNA from 1 species